GAUCAUUAGUGAAUGCUGGGAGUCCCUCCUAACCGGAGAAGGCCCAACCCACUACUUUACACACACUUGUGCAUUUGUCCCUUUUUACACACCCUUGUGCAGUGCCAACGGUUGUUGAUAACUUGAUUUUUGAUCAUUGAAAGAAAAACUUUCAGCAAUGGAUCUCUUGGCUUCCGCAUCGAUGAAGAACGCAGCAAAGCGCGAAAUGUAAUGUGAAUUGCAGAAUUCAGUGAAUCAUCGAAUCUUUGAACGCACCUUGCGCUCUCGGGCUAUUCCUGAGAGCACGUUUGUUGGAGUGUCGCGUAACCUCUCAACCCCGCCUUGCUUGCCAAGGUAGGACCCUUUGGGUCACGGGUUGGAUCGUGGGGCCUGUCGCUUGCGCUUGCGCAACGGGACUGCCCUGAAAUACAAGGAGCUGCAUCCAAACGCGCGGCUUGACCUGUUGUCAUAAGUUCAUAACCUUUCAACGGGGACGCGCGUCGGAACGGGCUUACCAUAAACAACCCCAUUUAUUACUUUGACCUCCAAUCAAGCGGGACU
rnacentral:rRNA from 1 species